rnacentral:rRNA from 1 species
AUGUCCCAACACCACCACUUCCCGCCGUUUGCCGUCGCCGUCGCCGUCGCGGCCGUGCUUGUCCUGCUCUCACCGCCGUCUGCCGCCGACCCGAACGACGAGCUGUGCCUGUCGAGCCUCCAGCAGUCCCUCUCCCUCCGCAACUGGACCAAGUCCUUCUUCACCGACCCCUGUGACGGCUUCAUCUCCAAGCUCCAGGGCGUCACCUGCAACAACGGCCGCGUCUACAAGCUCUCCCUCCCCGGGCUCUCCCUCUCCGGUUCCAUCCCGCCGGAGCUCUCCAACUGCACCAACCUCCAGUCGCUGGACCUGUCCUCCAACGCGCUGUCCGGCGCCAUCCCGACGGAGCUAUCCAAGUUGCUCAACCUGGCCGUGCUCAACCUCUCCGCCAACGCCCUCUCCGGUGCCAUCCCGCGGGAGCUCGCGAGCUGCGCCUACCUCAACGUCAUAGAUCUCCACGGCAACCAGCUCUCCGGGCCCAUUCCCGACGAGCUGGGCCUACUCGUCCGUCUCUCCACCUUCGACGUCUCGUACAACCGGCUGUCCGGCCCCAUCCCCGUGCUCCUCGCGAACCGCAGCAUCGCCGCCGGCGGCGGGGCGGUGGCUGCGGGGACGACGGCGAGGUUCAAUGCCAGCUCGUUCGCCGGGAACAAGGACCUGUACGGGUACCCUCUGCCGCCAAUGCGAGGGCACGGGCUGUCCGUGCUCGCCAUCGUCGGCAUCGGCCUCGGCAGCGGGCUGCUCAGCCUCGUGCUCAGCUUCUCCGCCGUCUGCAUCUGGCUCCGCUCCACCGACCGCACGGCCGCCACGCCCGGCGAGGAGGGCAAGAUCUCACACCUCAUGCCGGCCUACUGA